rnacentral:rRNA from 1 species
CCAGUAAUUUCUGCUCAAUGUAAAUAGCCGCAGUACCCUGACUGUGCAAAGGUAGCAUAAUCAUUUGGCUUAUAAUUGAAGUCUAGUAUCAAAGAAACAUGAAUAAUACUGUAUCAACUAAAAUUCAAAAUUAAUCAUAAGGUGCAAAUACCUUACUUAAUAUUAGACGAGAAGACCCUUGAAAUUUGGUCUUUUGUUGGGGCAACAUAAAAUUUUUAUAAGAAAUUCAUGUUAGAAAAUUAAAUUACUCUAGGGAUAACAGCAUAAUUAAUAUUGUUUGUGACCUCGAUGUUGGACUAGGUAAAUUUAAAG